GUGCUCGCUUCAGCAGCACACAUAUUAAAAUUGGAAUGAUACAGAGAAGGUUAGCAUGGCCCCUGGCAAGGAUGACAGGCAAAUUCAUGAAGUGUUCCAUAUUUUU